rnacentral:rRNA from 1 species
GACGAAGGGGGCUAGCGUUGCUCGGAAUCACUGGGCGUAAGGCGCACGUAGGCGGAUUUUUAAGUCAGGGGUGAAAUCCUGGAGCUCAACUCCAGAACUGCCUUUGAUACUGGGAAUCUCGAGUCCGGGAGAGGUGAGUGGAACUGCGAGUGUAGAGGUGAAAUUCGUAGAUAUUCGCAAGAACACCAGUGGCGAAGGCGGCUCGCUGGCCCGGUACUGACGCUGAGGUGCGAAAGCGUGGGGAGCAAACAGG